UUGGCUCUCUCUCUACCAACCCCACCGGAGCCCUCACCCUUCUCUCUCUCUUCCUCCUCUCUCUCUCUCUCUCUCUCUGUUGAUUAUUCUCCCCAAGUACUCUUGUUCUCUUUGAAAUGAAGAGAUUGAGCAAUCUCAAAACCUCUAGCAGCUUGCUUUCAUGAGUAAUAAUAUCAAGUAGAGAUCGAAACAGAUUUGCAGCCACCAUUUUCAUGAUUUCCUGCACUGAAAAGGUGAGAUGGGAUGUUUUAAAUCGAGCAACAAUGGAUAAAUCAUGCAGCAGUGUUGAAAUCAAGCAACAAUCAGGCACAUUCCCUUUUCAUUCUAGACUGAGGCCUAGUAAAAAAAUGAGGAGAAGUCUCCCCUGUUCAUCAUCUUCUUUACAUAGACCUAUAAAUCUCUCAUUUUUUUGGGGUUUCUUUAUUUCAAUUGUCAAUCAACACUUCCAACAAAAAGAAUCAAACCUUUGUUCUUGGUAUUGGCUGUUAACUGUUAACUGAUUGGGGAAGUAAUACAUAUGUUCUUCAUCUUUUUACCCAUCCUUGGUGGGGUUGAUUGGGGGUGGAACACGUAUAGUUAACUUGUGGUCCUCGAGAGUCCAUACAAACACACACACACAUCAAAGAAAUUAGGGCUCUUAAGAAGAAAGGACAAUCGAAGCAUAUUUCCACAAGUAAUCGAAGUUUUGACAUCUGGGUUCAAUACACACAUUGAAAAAUUGAAAAACACACACACACACACAAAAAAGUCAAAAAUGGUGUAAACCCGGUUGAAGAAAAAUGAACUUGUGUGUGAUUUCUUUCUGAUUUGCAGGGUCGUGUUUAUGAUUGCAGUGGUCGAGGGUGGGAAUUAUGAUGUGAAGGGGGUUUGCUUAUCGGUGAACUGUAACAAACAUGAGGUUGCAGGUGGUGUGUCUAUGGAGAGAAGAUGAUAGACCUGUGGGAAGAAGAUGAUGGAGUAGUUGGGUUUUUUGGACUUAGGAUGAGAGAGAGGGGUACCGGUAGGGGUGGAGUGCUAUCUUUUUUGUUUUUUAUUUUUAUUUUAUAAAGUAUUAAAAUAUUUUUAUUUUUAUUUUAUAAAGUAUUAAAAUAAACAAGAAAAGAAAAUACAAAACUGAAAUUAAAGGGUAAAUAGGUACUUUCAAAGUUUUUUGGACCAAAAACCCAAAAAACUCUUGAUUUUGGACAUUCUGUGCAAGCCGUAAAUUUUUUAGACCUUAUCCAAAGACUUUUGCAAACCACAAGGACCAAAUUUACAGUUUUGUCUAAUUUUAACUUAUUAUUUCAAAACAUGACAAGUAUUUUAAAUAUUCAGUUUCCGUUAAAAACCUAUAAAAACUUCUAAAUAUUAAUCACAAUAAAAAAAAGAUAAACUUUAAACGGGUAAAGAGUAAAAGUCGUAAAAUGUUAAUUUUUUUUUAUUAAAUUUUUUCAAAAAGUGAAAACAACAUAGAUAAAAGUUUCCGGUCAAGAAAGCAAAU
rnacentral:lncRNA from 1 species